GACGGGGGGGGCAAGUGUUCUUCGGAAUGACUGGGCGUAAAGCGCGUGCAGGUGGCCCCGCACGUCCGGUGUGAAAGCCCGGGGCUCAACCCCGGAAGCGCGCUGGAUACGACGGGGCUCGAGGGCUGGAGAGGUCGGCGGAAUUCCCGGUGUAGAGGUGAAAUGCGUAGAGAUCGGGAGGAACACCAGCGGCGAAGGCGGCGACCUGGACAGGCACUGACACUCAACUACGAAAGCGUGGGGAGCAAACAGG
rnacentral:rRNA from 1 species